GACGAACGCUGGCGGCGUGCUUAACACAUGCAAGUCGAACGGAAAGGCCCUGCUUUUGUGGGGUGCUCGAGUGGCGAACGGGUGAGUAACACGUGAGUAACCUGCCCUUGACUUUGGGAUAACUUCAGGAAACUGGGGCUAAUACCGGAUAGGAGCUCCUGCUGCAUGGUGGGGGUUGGAAAGUUUCGGCGGUUGGGGAUGGACUCGCGGCUUAUCAGCUUGUUGGUGGGGUAGUGGCUUACCAAGGCUUUGACGGGUAGCCGGCCUGAGAGGGUGACCGGCCACAUUGGGACUGAGAUACGGCCCAGACUCCUACGGGAGGCAGCAGUGGGGAAUAUUGCACAAUGGGCGGAAGCCUGAUGCAGCAACGCCGCGUGCGGGAUGACGGCCUUCGGGUUGUAAACCGCUUUCGCCUGUGACGAAGCGUGAGUGACGGUAAUGGGUAAAGAAGCACCGGCUAACUACGUGCCAGCAGCCGCGGUGAUACGUAGGGUGCGAGCGUUGUCCGGAUUUAUUGGGCGUAAAGGGCUCGUAGGUGGUUGAUCGCGUCGGAAGUGUAAUCUUGGGGCUUAACCCUGAGCGUGCUUACGAUACGGGUUGACUUGAGGAAGGUAGGGGAGAAUGGAAUUCCUGGUGGAGCGGUGGAAUGCGCAGAUAUCAGGAGGAACACCAGUGGCGAAGGCGGUUCUCUGGGCCUUUCCUGACGCUGAGGAGCGAAAGCGUGGGGAGCGAACAGGCUUAGAUACCCUGGUAGUCCACGCUGUAAACGGUGGGUACUAGGUGUGGGGUCCAUUCCACGGGUUCCGUGCCGUAGCUAACGCUUUAAGUACCCCGCCUGGGGAGUACGGCCGCAAGGCUAAAACUCAAAGGAAUUGACGGGGCCCCGCACAAGCGGCGGAGCAUGCGGAUUAAUUCGAUGCAACGCGUAGAACCUUACCUGGGUUUGACAUGGAUCGGGAGUGCUCAGAGAUGGGUGUGCCUCUUUUGGGGUCGGUUCACAGGUGGUGCAUGCCUGUCGUCAGCUCGUGUCGUGAGAUGUUGGGUUAAGUCCCGCAACGAGCGCAACCCUUGUUCACUGUUGCCAGCACGUUAUGGUGGGGACUCAGUGGAGACCGCCGGGGUCAACUCGGAGGAAGGUGGGGAUGACGUCAAGUCCUCAUGCCCCUUAUGUCCAGGGCUUCACGCAUGCUACAAUGGCUGGUACAGAGAGUGGCGAGCCUGUGAGGGUGAGCGAAUCUCGGAAAGCCGGUCUCAGUUCGGAUUGGGGUCUGCAACUCGACCUCAUGAAGUCGGAGUCGCUAGUAAUCGCAGAUCAGCAACGCUGCGGUGAAUACGUUCCCGGGGCU
rnacentral:rRNA from 1 species